UUUAAGUGAAAACGAGUAGGACGGGACACGUGAUAUCCUGUUUGAACAUGGGGGGACCAUCCUCCAAGGCUAAAUACUCCUGACUGACCGAUAGUGAACCAGUACCGUGAGGGAAAGGCGAAAAGAACCCCUGUAAGGGGAGUGAAAUAGAACCUGAAACCGUGUACGUACAAGCAGUGGGAGCACCUUUAUGGUGUGACUGCGUACCUUUUGUAUAAUGGGUCAGCGACUUACAUUCUGUAGCGAGGUUAACCGAAUAGGGGAGCCGUAGGGAAACCGAGUCUUAACUGGGCGAACAGUUGCAGGGUGUAGACCCGAAACCGGGCGAUCUAUCCAUGAGCAGGUUGAAGAUUGAGUAACAUCAAUUGGAGGACCGAACCCACUAAUGUUGAAAAAUUAGGGGAUGACUUGUGGAUCGGAGUGAAAGGCUAAUCAAGC
rnacentral:rRNA from 1 species